CCCCGCACUCUGUGAUUAGGCCCUGAUCCCCCAUGUAGACGGCUCUGAUCCCCGCACUCUAUGAUUAGGCUCUGAUCCCCGUACUCUAUGAUUAGGCUCUGAUCCCCGUACUCUAUGAUUAGGCCCUGAUCCCCGUACUCUAUGAUUAGGCCCUGAUCCCCGUACUCUAUGAUUAGGCCCUGAUCCCCCAUGUAGAAGGCUCUGAUCCCCCAUGUAGAAGGCUCUGAUCCCCCAUGUAGAAGGCUCUGAUCCCCCAUGUAGAAGGCUCUGAUCCCCGCACUCUAUGAUUAGGCCCUGAUCCCCCAUGUAGACGGCUCUGAUCCCCGCACUCUAUGAUUAGGCCAUGAUCCUCCAUGUAGAAGGCUCUGAUCCCCGCACUCUAUGAUUAGGCCCUGAUCCCCCAUGUAGACGGCUCUGAUCCCCGCACUCUAUGAUUAGGCUCUGAUCCCCCAUGUAGACGGCUCUGAUCCCCGUACUCUAUGAUUAGGCCCUGAUCCCCCAUGUAGACGGCUCUGAUCCCCGUACUCUAUGAUUAGGCCCUGAUCCCCCAUGUAGAAGGCUCUGAUCCCC